rnacentral:rRNA from 1 species
GCAUAUCAAUAAGCGGAGGAAAAGAAAAUAACAAUGAUUCCCUCAGUAACGGCGAGCGAAGAGGGAUAAGCUCAAAUUUUAAAUCUGUUGGGUUCCACUUAACAGAGUUGUAUUUUGAAGAAACGUUUUCUGCGUCCAGGAUUAGCCUAAAUCCUUUGGGAUAAGGUAUCAUGGAGGGUGAGAAUCCCGUUCAUGGUUAAUCUUAAGGAAGCUCUACGAUACGUUUUCCAAGAGUCGAGUUGUUUGGGAUUGCAGCUCAAAAUGGGAGGUAAAUUUCUCCUAAGGCUAAAUAUUGGCGAGAGACCGAUAGCGAACAAGUACCGUGAGGGAAAGAUGAAAAGAACUUUGAAAAGAGAGUUAAAUAGUACGUGAAAUUGUUGAAAGGGAAACGAUUGAAGUCAGUCGUACCGGCGGGAAAUCAGCUUCUCGAGUGGGGGUUCGCGGGUGCGCGGAGCUUCGGCCUUCGUCGCUUGUGACACCUUUUGCUUCUGGAGCGUACUUUUCCGUGUGGUAGGUCAACAUCGGUUUCGAUUGCCAUAAAAUGACCGGAGGAAUGUGGCUUCGAUCUUGUAUUGGAGUGUUAUAGCCUCUGGUAGAUGUGGUGGUUGGGAUCGAGGAUUGCAACGAAUGCUUUCGGGCUAUCCGUCUGACCUCUGGUGGUUGCUUUAGGGUCGAAAGCGUGCUUACGACUUUAAAGUUGGCUAUCAAAAGGCUAGAACGUGAUUAAAUUCGUUAAGGAUGUUGACGUA